ACUGUCAAAACCAUGAAAUGAUGGUUUUAUUGUGAAUGUAUUACUAAAUUAUUUUUGAAGUUGGCUCGUAGAGUUGCUAUAUAAGAUAGUUUGAUUAGAGUGAUACAUAGCUGUCGAUGAUUGAAGAUUCUGAAUCUUAAUAUAGCUUGCACGAGUUUCUCAAGCUGUCAAAAAUCGGAUAGGCGAUGAAUUGGUAAAACAAAUCCCCGGCUAUCUGUGUCUCGUUGGGAUUUAACGCACUGUGGUCUGUUGGUCUUAAGGCAUCACGGAUUUGAGUUGUUUUCUAGCUGCAGCUUUGUAUACCUGGUUAGAGCAUAUUUUGCGCACUUGGUUGACAAUCAAUGAGUUGGCGAACAUUCACACUUGCGCACUUGCUGUUAGCAUAGUCGAGGUCAACCAUGGCUGUCAUAUCAAGCUUGAUAAUGACUUAUCAAUCUCUUCAAUUUUUAGCAGAUUCAUAUGCAAAAAGAACACGAUGGCCUGCAAUAUAUUGUAGCAUUUGACAUUUGAGCCAGAGCCAUGAAUGGCAAUCUAGUCACAUGUUGCAAAAGUCUCGAGAUAUUGGAGUUUAAAUUCAAACGUCAAAGUGCGAUAAGAUAUUAUGGAUUUUUUUCCUUGUAUUUAAUUGGAUUUGAAUUAGGUAUUGAUUUAUUUAUGCAUCUGCUUCUUUAGUAGAAUCAAUUGUUCCCUUGUUUUGUGUGGUCAGACAUGAUUUCUUGCCUCUUUAAAGAGGCUAUUGACCAGCUGAGAGUUGACCUCCAGAGAUAUUUUGUCUUCCACUUUGGUGACGCUUCUGUUCACAUGGGGAUUUUGACAAAGUCUGCCUUGACAUAAUUAAAGGUGAUAACAGAUGAUUUGAUGGAAAAGUUUAAUGCGUCAAAAAUUGUCC
rnacentral:lncRNA from 1 species